AUACCAUGCAGAAUCGGGCACAGCGCGCACUACGGUAGAGAACUCGUCUACCAUCUACCGGGGUCCGGCCGGGCAGGGCCAAACUCAAUUCCUUAAGAUUGACAUAGACGCCUCAAGCGGAGCCCCGGUACGCCGCUGCACGAAGUCCCCCGCGCUCCCCGCAAGCCCCGCGGAUAACUCCAUCCCUGGUCUUCCUAACUUGGAGCCCUUCAAGUUUGUCGGUUACAAAACUGAAGAAGGCCUGCAGGUUGAGCACUGGCAGAACGUGUUGAUCGGCAAGCCGGGUGAUUAUGGCGCGGCGCGGGGGGAGGCCCUUAACUACACACACGACUUCUUUGUGUACAGGGAGGGAGGGGACGCGGUGCCGCUCAGAUACAAAGUGACGACCGACAGCUCAGUCCUAGGUGCCGCGAGCGACACCUACACGCACCGCUACACACUACUGCCUCCCCCCACCGCCCCCCUCACACCCGACGUGGCCCUCUGUGAUGACGUGCAAGAUUACCAAGAUGGCCGACGCCAGCGCCGAGCCA